rnacentral:rRNA from 1 species
AAAGGUACGCCGGGGAUAACAGGCUGUUGACUCCCAAGAGCUCUUAUCGAUGGAGUUGUUUGGCACCUCGAUGUAGAAUUAUCACAUCCUGGUGUUGAAAAAGGUCCCAAGGAUUCGGUUGUUUGCUAAUUCAAGUGGUAAGUGAGUUAGGUUGAGAACGUCGUGAGACAGUUCGGUUCAUAUCUACCUUUAGUGUUAAAGGGAGAACUGCGAGGAGCCAACCCUAGUAC